rnacentral:rRNA from 1 species
UUAUGGGCGGAUGGAGGAUGCCUCGGGAGGUUGAGGCGAUGAAGGACGUGGCGUGACUGCGAAAAGCCUCGGGGAGGUGUCUAGCAACCUUUGAUCCGGGGAUUUCCGAAUGGGGAAACCUAAUUUUGCGAUAAGCGAAAUUAGUCCCGUCGAAUGGCGGGACAGCAUACCCGCUGAAGUGAAACAUCUCAGUAAGCGGAGGAAAAAGAAAACAAAUGUUUAUUCCCUGAGUAGCGGCGAGCGAAAAGGGAAGAGCCUAGAUCGAGCAUAUAACUUGUUAUGUGCUUCGAAGUUGAUAAGAGAGAGGCGUUCCAAGGCUUUCGUCUUAAGUGAAAACUUUGGAAGGAGUGAAAAAAUUGACGGUUAGACGAAAUACUCUGGAAAGAGAUACCAAAGGGGGUAAUAGUCCCGUAGUCAAAAACCGAGCAAUCUCUUAGUCUCUUUUCUUAAGUACCACGGGAAAAGAAAGUCCUGUGGGAAGCAGGGUCGACUAACGACCCAAGGCUAAAUACUCAACCUCACCAAUAGUGAACCAGUACCGUGAGGGAAAGGUGAAAAGUAGGGAGGUGAUCCCGGUGAAAUAGAACCUGAAACCAUCUCGCUCACAAAAAGUCGGAGCCCGCAAGGGUGACGGCGUACUUUUUGGAGAACGAACCAACGAGUGUCCCGCACCAAUUUGUCUAAGCGCUUCUAGCGCGAAAGCAAAGGGAAACCAAGUCUUAAAAGGGCAUAUUAAAUUGGUGUGGAACGACCCGAAGCCAAGCGAGCUUGCCAUGGCCAGGGUGAACUUCGUCGAAAGACGAGGGGAGGCCCGAACCCGUGAGCCGUGCAAUACUCUGGGAUGAGCUGUGGCAAGAAGAGAAAACCUAAACGAGCUUGGUGAUAGCUGGUUCUCCCCGAAAUAGUUUUGGGACUAGCGCCCGCCAGAAUUUUGUUUUCCAGAGGUAGAGCACUGGAAAGAAUAUCGUGGAGCAAUCCAGGCAUUCUUACCAAACUCCGAAUGCUGGAAAAUUUAGACGGGUAGUUAGACUAUGGGGGCUAAGCUCCGUAGUCAAAAGGGGAAAAGCCCAAAUCUUCAUCUAAGGUCCCUAAACUGAGCUAAGUGUUUCAAAGGAAGUGGAAUUCCAUUGAUAGCUAGGAGGUUAGCUUAGAAGCAGCUACCCUUUAAAAAGUGCGUAACAGCUUACUAGCUAAGGGAUUCUGCACCUAAGCAUUUAUCGGGGCUAAGCUCAGUACCGAAGAUAAGGCUGAGCACAUAAUUUUUUAUGUGCUCGGGGUAGGGGAGCGUUCUUAGCGCAGCGAAGUCAAACUGUGAGGUUUGAUGGAGCGCUGAGAAGUGAGAAUGUUGGUAUGAGUAACCGCAAUAGCAGUGAAAACCUGUUACACCGAAAACCUAAGGUUUCCUUGGCAAUGGCGAUCAUCCAAGGGUUAGGCGAUCCUUAAGCAAACCCGAAAGGGGUAGCUGAUGGACAGCCGGUUAAUAUUCCGGCCCUCCCGUUAGAUAAACUUCAAAUGACGCAGUCAAAAUCUUUGGAAGAGUUAUUGGAUUCUGAGGUGGGUUUAUCCUGCCGUUCCAAAGGUUAGAUUGCCCAGAAAAGUUUGAAAUAUACUAUCUAACGGGAUCCGUACCGCAAACCGACACAGGUAGGUCGGCGUAAGAGUGCCAAGGUGAACGGGUGAAAGCUCCUGAAGGAACUCGGCAAAAAAGUGGUCGUAAGUUCGCGAUAAGACCUACCCAGUUUAUCUGGGUUGCAACAAAAGACCCCUAGCGACUGUUUAUCAAAAACACAAGUCCCUGCUCAACUCGUAAGAGGAUGUAUAGGGGCUGAGGCCUGACCAGUACCUGUGUGUUAAAGUUGCCGGUCCAAGCACAUAACUUGUUAUGUGCUCGGGCUGAGUGGCUUAAGCCACAGGCUAACGUCCGCAGUAACUAUAACUGUGUUAAAGUAGCGUAACCCCUUGCCACGUAAGUUGUGGCCCGCAUGAAAGGUUUAACGACUAGGGGACUGUCUCCAGGAGUUACCCGGUGAAAUUGCAAUAAGCGUGAAGAUGCGCUUUACCUGCGGCUAGACGGAAAGACCCCGGGAGCUUUACUGUAGGGUGGUAUUGAAUUUUGGGUUUUGAUGCGUAGCGUAGUGGGGAGGCUUUGAAGUUCUGGUUUCGGCCAGAACGGAGCCGCCAAUGAAACACCCAUCUUUGAAACUCUUAGUUCUAAUCUCGCGUUAAAGGCGGGAGACAGUGCUACUCGGUCAGUUUAAGUGGGGCACUUGCCUUAAUUUAUGGGGCCAUUUGAGAGGAAUCUCAAAUGCAAACUCGACUAAUAUGCUGGGACAUCUGGAGUACUUAAGGAGUAAUCCAACAAGUGAAACCAGAUAAUCAGCAGGGAAAUCAUUUUUAAAGCGAUACCCUCAACGACUGUACGUCGAGUCCCCGUGAGAUAUGAAAUUAUCACACGGGGUAGUGAUACAGUCUGAACUUUAGGGCGACCUAAAGAUUCGGUAAAGUUAGUUUUAGUGCCCACUAACUAACCCGAAACUUAGAGCUCAAAAAUUUAUGAGGAGUAGAGAAAUAGAGGAAUACAAGAGUAAACUUUCUCUAAGUGAGAGACAAAAAGAAAUAUUGAUUGGAUUGAUUUUAGGAGAUGGCCAUCUGGAGAAACUUUAUACCCCGACACUAGGAAGGUUAAAAGUAGAACAUAGUUACAAACAAAAAGACUAUGUAGAUUGGCUUUACGAAGAAUUCAGAAAUUGGGUAAGGAGCAAACCAAAAUCAAAGAGAAAGAAAGUUUGGAAUAAAACUUACCUGAAUUAU